rnacentral:rRNA from 1 species
AAUAGAUACCCGGGUAGUCCACGCCGUAAACGAUGGAUACUAGCUGUUUGAGCGCAAGUUUGAGUGGCUAAGCGAAAGUGAUAAGUAUCCCACCUGGGGAGUACGGGCGCAAGCCUGAAACUCAAAGGAAUUGACGGGGGCCCGCACAAGCGGUGGAGCAUGUGGUUUAAUUCGAUGAUACGCGAGGAACCUUACCAGGGCUUAAAUGUAGAUUGACGUAUUUGGAAACAGAUAUUUCUUCGGACAAUUUACAAGGUGCUGCAUGGUUGUCGUCAGCUCGUGCCGUGAGGUGUCAGGUUAAGUCCUAUAACGAGCGCAACCCCUGUUGUUAGUUGCCAGCGAGUAAUGUCGGGAACUCUAGCAAGACUGCCAGUGUAAACUGUGAGGAAGGUGGGGAUGACGUCAAAUCAUCACGGCCCUUACGGUCCUGGGCCACACACGUGCUACAAUGGCCGGUACAGAGAGCAGCCACUUAGCGAUAAGGAGCGAAUCUAUAAAGCCGGUCACAGUUCGGAUCGGAGUCUGCAAC